GCCUUCGGAUGGCUCAGUUGGUAAAGCGUGAGAUUCUUAAUCUCAGGGUCGUGGGUUCGAAUUCCACUUUAGGCG